UGAUCUCCAUUUUACAUGGGAAACUGAUGCACAGAGAGGUGAAGCAACUUGCCCAAAGUAACACAGCCAGGAAGUUGUAGGGCCAGGGUUUGGAAGCCAGUAGUCUAACUGCAGUCUACUCUUACUGAGUCCACUUCAGGCUCUCCUAGGUGGGAGUGUGUGAGUUCCUGGGGUCUCGAGGCUCCUAAUCUCUUCACAAGUUUCCUAACAUUGAUCUCUAUCAACAGUCUGACUUCUUCAGUUGGAAAAAUUAAGACACAAAAAUAACUCUUUCCUUGGUCCCAAGGAACGGAUCUUGAAUAGUGGAAAAAGUUGUUGAGUAGACAUUCUCUGGGUCCUUCACUCCAGCAGGAGGUCUGGGCUGUGAGGAGAGAGGGCAUGGGGGACCUGGGAGGGAUGAGCUCCAUGGUAUGGGAGCCGCACUAGGACAAAGCAAGGGCUCCCAGAGAGGAAUCAGCAACAGCCUUCGUGACUCUGAAAGGAUACUUUUAACAGUACUUCAGGAAAGUAUAGAAGAUGUCUUUCCAAUCAUGUAAUUUUCUAGGUAUAAAAAAUUCAUCCCAUGCUAAUAGCAACUGCCCCAUUCUAACCAUUUUCCAAAUUCCCUAUCCUUCUAACCUGCUUAAUUUCCUUGUUAGCAUUUAUCUCUGACAUAUUGUAUGCUUUACUUAUUUAUUCAUUUGGUAUUUUAGUCAAACCCCAGCGGUAAUGUUACCUUUGAACAAAUUUAAAGUUUCAAAUUUGUUUCUCUUUGAUCUCCAUCUUCAAACUAAUUUUCUCCUGUCAAUCUUAGACUGCUAUAAAUAAUGAAGGUUUUUUGCUUAUUGGAUUAUUCUCAUUAUUAGUUGUCAUUUUUAUAUUCAAAGUCAUGGAAAUUUCUUUUUCUUAAACUGUUUUGAUUGUGCAAUCAGAUUUUGGAGGACUGCAAUCACUGAGUAUUUUUAAAUUCAAUAAGAUUGUAAUUAAUUGCAAAGGUGAACAUGCAUAGUAAAAUAUUUUUAUAUUUUGUGAACUACCUUCAGCUUAGAUAGGGAGGUGUGAAACUAUACAUAACAUUUAAUCC